AACGCAUAUUGCGCUCGAGGCCUCGGCCGAGAGCAUGUCUGCCUCAGCGUCGGGUUAAUCCUCACUCCUCUCACCCCUGCGGUGCGAUCCGAGUGGACCUGGCAGUUCCAGCGCGGCACCGCUGCCCUCACGGGCGGCGUUGCACCCACGUGCUGGAUCUGCUGAAGCGCAGAGGUUAGCUCAAGGACCCUUAUGGGCCGCAACUGGGUGGGCAGCUUUCAGCUUGCUGAUUCUUAGUUGUUGGCUUGGACCGUGAGCUCGACCCUCAAUCAGGAACCUAACCCUUCAUUUUCUCGACCUGAGCUCAGGCAAGAACACCCGCUGAACUUAA
rnacentral:misc_RNA from 1 species